rnacentral:rRNA from 1 species
UGGGGAAUCUUCCGCAAUGGACGAAAGUCUGACGGAGCAACGCCGCGUGAGUGAAGACGGCCUUCGGGUUGUAAAGCUCUGUGAUCCGGGACGAAAGAGCCUGAGGUGAAUAGCCUAAGGAAGUGACGGUACCGGAAAAGCAAGCCACGGCUAACUACGUGCCAGCAGCCGCGGUAAUACGUAGGUGGCAAGCGUUGUCCGGAAUUAUUGGGCGUAAAGCGCGCGCAGGCGGCUUCCUAAGUCCAUCUUAAAAGUGCGGGGCUUAACCCCGUGAUGGGAUGGAAACUGGGAAGCUGGAGUAUCGGAGAGGAAAGAGGAAUUCCUAGUGUAGCGGUGAAAUGCGUAGAGAUUAGGAAGAACACCGGUGGCGAAGGCGACUUUCUGGACGAAAACUGACGCUGAGGCGCGAAAGCGUGGGGAGCAAACAGG